rnacentral:rRNA from 10 species
UAAAAGUCGUAACAAGGUCUCCGUUGGUGAACCAGCGGAGGGAUCAUUA